rnacentral:rRNA from 1 species
GGUCGAACGGCCACAUUGGGACUGAGACACGGCCCAAACUCCUACGGGAGGCAGCAGUAAGGAAUUUUCGGCAAUGGAGGAAACUCUGACCGAGCAAUGCCGCGUGAACGAUGAAGUAUUUCGGUACGUAAAGUUCUUUUAUUAGGGAAGAAAAGAUGGUGGAAAAACCAUUAUGACGGUACCUAAUGAAUAAGCCCCGGCUAACUAUGUGCCAGCAGCCGCGGUAAUACAUAGGGGGCAAGCGUUAUCCGGAAUUAUUGGGCGUAAAGGGUGCGUAGGCGGUUAAAUAAGUUUAUGGUCUAAGUGCAACGCUCAACGUUGUGAUGCUAUAAAAACUGUUUAGCUAGAGUUGGAUAGAGGCAAGUGGAAUUCCGUGUGUAGUGGUAAAAUGCGUAAAUAUACGGAGGAACACCAGAAGCGAAGGCGGCUUGCUGGGUCUUAACUGACGCUGAGGCACGAAAGCGUGGGGAGCAAACAGGAUUAGAUACCCUGGUAGUCCACGCCCUAAACGAUGAGUACUAAACGUUGGAUAAAACCAGUGUUGAAGUUAACACAUUAAGUACUCCGCCUGAGUAGUACGUACGCAAGUAUGAAACUUAAAGGAAUUGACGGGACUCCGCACAAGCGGUGGAUCAUGUUGUUUAAUUCGAAGGUACCCGAAAAACCUCACCAGGUCUUGACAUGCUUUUGCAAAGCUGUAGAAAUACAGUG